rnacentral:ncRNA from 2 species
CCAAGGGAACGGGCUUGG